UUUUUUUUAUUUUUUUAAACAAACCACUGCAGCAUUCCUUUUUCAGCAGUUUCCUUUUUUAUCGUCCCAUAUUUCCUCUUCGAUUCCUGAUCAAAUAAUGCAAAAAUUAGUAAGAGAGAAAAAAGAGAUAAGGAAAAUAACAAAAAUAAAAAAUAUUUUUAUUUUAUUUUAGAUAUAUAUAUAUUUUGAAAGUUUCUUUUAAAAAAAAAGAAAAACAACUAUGCUAGCAAUCCCCGGCAACGGCGCCAAAAAUUGAUAGUCAACUUUCAAGACCACGCAAUAGCACGUAUCUAGUAGGAUAGUGAUUACGGAUAUCGAUCCACAGGAAUUGGGGUACAGUUAUUUUUUUAAAAAAUAAUAUAUUUAAAAAGAAAAAUUUGUAAAGAAAAUUAAACUAAGAAAUUUAAUGAAAAUGUAAUUGAAGUGAUAUCAGUUUGAGGGAACCUAGGGCAGGAAAUUCACCACUAACAUCGGAACAAGGGUUAUUUGUAUUUUAAUUUAUUAUUGGAUUAACAUGCAAAUUAACUACAAGCCUAAUAAGCAUUUAAAUAAAAAUCUCACAAAAGUAAUUUAGAAACUUCCAUCUUCGGUUGGCAUGAAAUGUCUACCCUAAACUAAUGUGGCAGGACACUGCAUCUUCCCUAAGCAUGGGUGAUCUUUUAUUAACUUAGUGAUCAUGAAGAACAGUUGUAUAAAUGUCAUAUUUAAAAUCACAGAAAUUAAAUAUAAGAUAAAAGAGGAUAUCCAUUAAAAACAAUAAGUUCAUACAACUCCAAGAAUAUAAAAUUAAAUACAUAAAAACCCGUGUUCCUUUGUUAGGGUUGCAUCCGGCCCUAGAGAGGAGAUCAGUCUUCCAUGGAGUCGUGGGCGAUAGCAGCAGUGGCACAGCAGCGGGCUCCCAUUUCUUCUUUUCUUCCUCCCUUCCCUAGAUCUCUCCUUCCUUCUCUAGCAAUUCAUUAUUUUUUUCUUUUGAGAAGGCAUUCCCAAAAAGACCCAAACUUCUCUCCCUUCUCUGUUUCCCAUGGGACUCCGCCUCCGAAGAGCUGGUUCGGAAGGAGGGGAACUCAUCCUUUUAUAAGCUCCGCAUCCCCUCUGUUUCAUCCUGUGGAUAUGGUCUUCCGGAUGGGAAGAUAAAGAUGGCUGAAGAUGAUGAUCCACGAGAGGUUGAUCCACGGCUGCUGCUGGCUGUGAUUCACGUGAAGCUCGGAAUGGUUGAAGCAGAACUGGGAAGAUCGCGUGGAAGAUGCGGAAGCAUGGGAAGCUUCAUCACGGAUGGUUGCUGGCCGAGUUUAUCCUUGUGAACGGUGGGAUGUUUGACUUGCGGAGGCAGUGGGAUAGGAAUGAAUCAUGAACGGGAUGGGAAGUGUUCUCAGAAUCUGGAUGGAUCAAAAUCCAAUCCGAACUGAUGUUGAAGAUCUGCUGGGAGUUUGGAUGAACUUGUUCGCAGAUGAUUCGGGAGGAUGAGGAUGAAUACGGAGACGUGGAAGCUAGGGAGAUAUUUGCGGAUGGAGUGGACCAUGGUCGCUGAGACUUUGCUCUGUUUUUGGACACAGGGGAUCCCAUGCGAAUGUGGAGCAAGGGAUAUGAUUUGUGAGAAGAAAUCUGGAACGAUGGGGCGGUAAUCUUUGAGUUCGGUUAAGGAAGAGAUGCUCACUGGCUGGGAAGAAGUUGUUCCGAAACAGGGGAGCUAGGAACGGAAUGGGAUGAAGAUGGAGGAGUAGUCUGUUUUGCUAAGCUGAGGAGCUUGAUUUGCGGACGCGACGUGGGCGAUGCUCACGGAUGGGAUUUGAGAUGAUCCGGAAGCAUAGGAGAUGAAGAUGAACCGCGGGCUGGGAUGCAAUCCGUGGGAUAAGGAUGCUGGGAACAAACGUGUGAGCUGGGAGAUUAUUCAAAAGAAAGGGAACUCAUCGUGAAGCUCGAGAUGUUCAUGGAGAUGCUGCUUGAUCCGAUCCGCGGCAGCUGGGAUGAACUUGGACGUUGGGAGAUUAAGCCGGAAGAGAUCUUUGGGUGACGAUUGGCUUGGUUCGAAAGAGGGAAGAGAGAUACGACUGUGAUGUGGAGCAAUGUAUGCGGAUGGGAAGGAAGUAGAGGAGGCUGUGAACGGUGGAUAAGAACUGAAGUUGGUUGGGAGAUGAUAGGAUGUUAUCCGGAGGGAUAUUGGCUCAUGGAAAGAAGGAAAUGGCUGGGAGAUGAUGAGGUUUCGGAUGCUGAACCGGACGCGUGGGAAGAUGAGCUGGGACAUUGAAGAGGAUGUGAGGAUGGCUGCUG
rnacentral:lncRNA from 1 species